GCGACGCUGGCGGCGUGCCUAAUACAUGCAAGUCGAGCGGACUUUAAAAGCUUGCUUUUAAAGUUAGCGGCGGACGGGUGAGUAACACGUGGGCAACCUGCCUGUAAGACUGGGAUAACUUCGGGAAACCGGAGCUAAUACCGGAUAAUCCUUUUCUACACAUGUAGAAAAGCUGAAAGACGGUUUACGCUGUCACUUACAGAUGGGCCCGCGGCGCAUUAGCUAGUUGGUGAGGUAACGGCUCACCAAGGCAACGAUGCGUAGCCGACCUGAGAGGGUGAUCGGCCACACUGGGACUGAGACACGGCCCAGACUCCUACGGGAGGCAGCAGUAGGGAAUCUUCCGCAAUGGACGAAAGUCUGACGGAGCAACGCCGCGUGAGUGAUGAAGGUUUUCGGAUCGUAAAACUCUGUUGUUAGGGAAGAACAAGUACAAGAGUAACUGCUUGUACCUUGACGGUACCUAACCAGAAAGCCACGGCUAACUACGUGCCAGCAGCCGCGGUAAUACGUAGGUGGCAAGCGUUGUCCGGAAUUAUUGGGCGUAAAGCGCGCGCAGGCGGUCCUUUAAGUCUGAUGUGAAAGCCCACGGCUCANCCGUGGAGGGUCAUUGGAAACUGGGGGGACUUGAGUGCAAAANAAAAAAAGUGGAAUUCCCCGUGUANCGGUGAAAUGCGUAAAGAUGUGGAAGAACACCAGUGGC
rnacentral:rRNA from 2 species